GGGAUUAGUGGCGAACGGGUGAGUAACACGUGGGCAAUCUGCCCUGCACUCUGGGACAAGCCCUGGAAACGGGGUCUAAUACCGGAUACUGAUCCUCGCAGGCAUCUGCGAGGUUCGAAAGCUCCGGCGGUGCAGGAUGAGCCCGCGGCCUAUCAGCUAGUUGGUGAGGUAACGGCUCACCAAGGCGACGACGGGUAGCCGGCCUGAGAGGGCGACCGGCCACACUGGGACUGAGACACGGCCCAGACUCCUACGGGAGGCAGCAGUGGGGAAUAUUGCACAAUGGGCGAAAGCCUGAUGCAGCGACGCCGCGUGAGGGAUGACGGCCUUCGGGUUGUAAACCUCUUUCAGCAGGGAAGAAGCGAAAGUGACGGUACCUGCAGAAGAAGCGCCGGCUAACUACGUGCCAGCAGCCGCGGUAAUACGUAGGGCGCAAGCGUUGUCCGGAAUUAUUGGGCGUAAAGAGCUCGUAGGCGGCUUGUCACGUCGGUUGUGAAAGCCCGGGGCUUAACCCCGGGUCUGCAGUCGAUACGGGCAGGCUAGAGUUCGGUAGGGGAGAUCGGAAUUCGUGGUGUAACGGUGAAAUGCGCAGAU
rnacentral:rRNA from 1 species